rnacentral:lncRNA from 1 species
ACUGCCAACAUCCACACAGCGGAAGAAGGACAUGUUAGCACUAGUAUCAAAGAGUGAUGCAAAGAAAGCUCCUUGAAAUUAAUAAUCUAACAGAGGAAAGGUCAUUCUUUAUUACCCUGUCACCACUUUCGGCCAUAACCAUGUUCUCAGUUGGAACAGGUGGAGCAGCAGAGAUAAGGUGGUUGGCCAUGGCCUCCUGCCGCUUUAUCUUGCUCAUCAUCUUCUUGCAAUUGCAAAGAAACCGAUCAAGCUCCCAAAGGGUCUCUGUGUCCAUCAUCUCAAUGUCCAACUCUAUCUCAUCUCCAUGCUGUGCUGGAUCCACAUUCCUCUUCCUCACAAUCUGCAGAACCUGAGCCAUCUUCUCCUGGGGAAGGUUUUGGAGCCCCUGGCUCAGCUUCCUCUUCUCCUCAAAGCUCAUUGCCCUCUUGUUUGGGUCUUUAGCCUUUGGCUUUGGCUGCUUCCCCAUCAUCACUCUACCAACAACUGGACGCUGCUGGGGCAGCUGCGACUGCUGCUGGGGUGACUGCAAGGGAUGCAGAGGCGGCUGCUUAGCUUGAACCGGAGGUGGUGACUGCAAGGGAUGCAGAGGCGGCUGCUUAGCUUGAACCGGAGGUGGUGCCUGUAACAGAGGUAGUAUUGGAGCUGGAGUCGCAGCUGGCGGCAGGAUCACAGGAUCAACGGGCUCAGGUCUCACAGCACUCUCAACCACAGG